GAUGAACGCUAGCGGCAGGCCUAACACAUGCAAGUCGAGGGGUAGUUACUUUCGGGUAAUGAGACCGGCGCACGGGUGCGUAACGCGUAUGCAAUCUACCUUUUACAGGGGAAUAGCCCAGAGAAAUUUGGAUUAAUGCCCCAUAGUAUGUAUGAAUCGCAUGGUUUAUACAUUAAAGUUCCAACGGUAAAAGAUGAGCAUGCGUCCCAUUAGUUAGUUGGUAAGGUAACGGCUUACCAAGACGAUGAUGGGUAGGGGUCCUGAGAGGGAGAUCCCCCACACUGGUACUGAGACACGGACCAGACUCCUACGGGAGGCAGCAGUGAGGAAUAUUGGACAAUGGGCGGCAAGCCUGAUCCAGCCAUGCCGCGUGCAGGAAGAAGCAUCUAUGGUGUGUAAACUAGCUUUUGUUACGGGAAGAAACACUCCUUCGUGAAGGAAGCUUGACGGUACCGUAAG
rnacentral:rRNA from 1 species